rnacentral:rRNA from 1 species
UGGGGAAUAUUGCACAAUGGGGGAAACCCUGAUGCAGCGACGCCGCGUGAACGAAGAAGGUAUUCGUAUCGUAAAGUUCUGUCCUAUGGGAAGAUAAUGACAGUACCAUAGAAGAAAGCUCCGGCUAAAUACGUGCCAGCAGCCGCGGUAAUACGUAUGGAGCGAGCGUUGUCCGGAAUUAUUGGGCGUAAAGGGUACGCAGGCGGUUUAAUAAGUCGAAUGUUAAAGAUCGGGGCUCAACCCCGCAAAGCAUUGGAAACUGAUAAACUUGAGUAGUGGAGAGGAAAGUGGAAUUCCUAGUGUAGUGGUGAAAUACGUAGAUAUUAGGAGGAAUAACAGUAGAGAAGGCGACUUUCUGGACACAAACUGACGCUGAGGUACGAAAGCGUGGGGAGCAAACAGG